ACUUUGUCACUCAUUGGGAAGACGAGAUCCCUGGGUCCUUCUGAACAUAAUUUGAACAAUAAUACGCUGCGGUGAUGUAGUUGUUUCGAUCAUAGCAUGACCGGUUCUGCUGAUUCAUUUUUCCUAGGAGGAAUUAUCGUAGGACGCCGAUCGACGCCUGGAGGCUACAGAGGUAGAGGACAAGAGACAACGUCGACAACACCGGAAGACUUGACAGGGUUAUCCAAGUGUCAGGAAGGAUGUUCUUGUUCAUGAUGAUAUCGUUCCAAUUUCAACAUCGACGGUAAUAGAAUGUCAUAGAGCCGGACUGAAGCAUGCAGCGUUCAACUUUAUGCAGCCUGAAUACCGAACGCAAAUCCAUGCCAAAUGUAGCAAAAAAAUUGAAGCAAUUGUGAGGAAGGCUCCAAAGACAAAGGAUCCUGAAGCUGAGAAUGAGCCAUUGACACCUUGUCCUUAUUGCCAAAAUAAAUUACCUGAGACGGAAGUCAUGUGUGACAAAUGCAAGAGCACCAUACCUUUUUGCAUUGCUACGGUAAACUGUUUUAGGUCGUCACCUUCUGAAAGAAGACUUAACAGUUUGUCCACAAUAUGAGUUUCCCAAAAUGGCAACUGAGUUCCUGCGAAUCAUCGAAAGUGAAGAAGUUUGUCCAAUGUGUACGGAACAUGUGGAUCCAAAAAUGGUGUCAUCGAGCAUCAACAUUCAUUCAUUCCUCGAUGCACAAGAUACCAAUGUUAAAAAGGUUUAGAGUUUCUUUCAAACAAAGUGCGCUCACAUCUGGAAUAACUGUGCGAAUUGUUGCCAUAGCUCACUAUUUUUCCAUGAAUCAUACCUUAGUCUUAGACCAAACAGUUAGUACAGUGUAGGGAGUACAAUCUGUGGCAUAUACGGUUCAGAUAUUCUGAACAGAUGCUGAUCUAUCGAAUCAAAGAUGAUACAUAGUAAUAAUUAUUGAAUUCCACUCAAUCCUUCCUUUGAUAAUUUUUGAUAACGAAAACCUGAUAUAUUCAGCCAUCGAGCAGAAGAAUCGUCUCAUUCAAUCGUCGGGUGUUUAUACAUGGUGACUCUCAGAAAACUUUGCUCAAUUCUCAUGAUGAGUAUCUCCGAGGCGGAUACCUUGACAAUUAAAGUUGAAAUGCAAAGAUCAGUUUACCUAUAACAUAUUGUAAAAAAUUAGGCGAGCACGUUUGACGUUAGGUAUAGCUGAAUUUGUUGAUUGAAUUAAGUGAUUUGUCGAAUUAAUCAAGUUGCCGCUAGUUCGGUACUUAGAAUAGCUAAUAAAUUUGAUUAUCUCGAUUACUUGCGGUUGUAAUUCAAUUUCAGAGUGUCAGAAUGAUGUUUUGAUGCUCAAAAAAUACAGAAGAAUACUACACAGUUCAAUUUUUGUGUUUGCCAAGAAAUGAAUUACGACAACACACGGUGAACAUGGGGUGAAUCAACUAUGCCAUUCAAACUUGAUACAAACUGACUUUGUCACUCAUUGGGAAGACGAGAUCCCUGGGUCCUUCUGAACAUAAUUUGAACAAUAAUACGCUGCGGUGAUGUAGUUGUUUCGAUCAUAGCAUGACCGGUUCUGCUGAUUCAUUUUUCCUAGGAGGAAUUAUCGUAGGACGCCGAUCGACGCCUGGAGGCUACAGAGGUAGAGGACAAGAGACAACGUCGACAACACCGGAAGACUUGACAGGGUUAUCCAAGUGUCAGGAAGGAUGUUCUUGUUCAUGAUGAUAUCGUUCCAAUUUCAACAUCGACGGUAAUAGAAUGUCAUAGAGCCGGACUGAAGCAUGCAGCGUUCAACUUUAUGCAGCCUGAAUACCGAACGCAAAUCCAUGCCAAAUGUAGCAAAAAAAUUGAAGCAAUUGUGAGGAAGGCUCCAAAGACAAAGGAUCCUGAAGCUGAGAAUGAGCCAUUGACACCUUGUCCUUAUUGCCAAAAUAAAUUACCUGAGACGGAAGUCAUGUGUGACAAAUGCAAGAGCACCAUACCUUUUUGCAUUGCUACGGGUCGUCACCUUCUGAAAGAAGACUUAACAGUUUGUCCACAAUAUGAGUUUCCCAAAAUGGCAACUGAGUUCCUGCGAAUCAUCGAAAGUGAAGAAGUUUGUCCAAUGUGUACGGAACAUGUGGAUCCAAAUAUGGUGUCAUCGAGCAUCAACAUUCAUUCAUUCCUCGAUGCACAAGAUACCAAUGUUAAAAAGGUUUAGAGUUUCUUUCAAACAAAGUGCGCUCACAUCUGGAAUAACUGUGCGAAUUGUUGCCAUAGCUCACUAUUUUUCCAUGAAUCAUACCUUAGUCUUAGACCAAACAGUUAGUACAGUGUAGGGAGUACAAUCUGUGGCAUAUACGGUUCAGAUAUUCUGAACAGAUGCUGAUCUAUCGAAUCAAAGAUGAUACAUAGUAAUAAUUAUUGAAUUCCACUCAAUCCUUCCUUUGAUAAUUUUUGAUAACGAAAACCUGAUAUAUUCAGCCAUCGAGCAGAAGAAUCGUCUCAUUCAAUCGUCGGGUGUUUAUACAUGGUGACUCUCAGAAAACUUUGCUCAAUUCUCAUGAUGAGUAUCUCCGAGGAGGAUACCUUGACAAUUAAAGUUGAAAUGCAAAGAUCAGUUUACCUAUAACAUAUUGUAAAAAAUUAGGCGAGCACGUUUGACGUUAGGUAUAGCUGAAUUUGUUGAUUGAAUUAAGUGAUUUGUCGAAUUAAUCAAGUUGCCGCUAGUUCGGUACUUAGAAUAGCUAAUAAAUUUGAUUACCUCGAUUACUUGCGGUUGUAAUUCAAUUUCAGAGUGUCAGAAUGAUGUUUUGAUGCUCAAAAAAUACAGAAGAAUACUUCACAGUUCAAUUUUUGUGUUUGCCAAGAAAUGAAUUACGACAACACACGGUGAACAUGGGGUGAAUCAACUAUGCCAUUCAAACUUGAUACAAACUGACUUUGUCACUCAUUGGGAAGACGAGAUCCCUGGGUCCUUCUGAACAUAAUUUGAACAAUAAUACGCUGCGGUGAUGUAGUUGUUUCGAUCAUAGCAUGACCGGUUCUGCUGAUUCAUUUUUCCUAGGAGGAAUUAUCGUAGGACGCCGAUCGACGCCUGGAGGCUACAGAGGUAGAGGACAAGAGACAACGUCGACAACACCGGAAGACUUGACAGGGUUAUCCAAGUGUCAGGAAGGAUGUUCUUGUUCAUGAUGGUGAAGAAUUCAAUUCAAAAAAAUGAAUAGAGCACAGUAUUGGAGUUCAGAAGGUUAUUGAUAUUUCCAGUUCACCUAAGUGACAAAAAUUGCAGUCCGGUAUGUCGACUGCAUUUUGUCAACAUUGAUUCUUCACAUUGUGUCAUGUCCUUUGCCAAAGCACUGUGCACCACGUUCUAGAGAUAUGGAUACUCUUUUCGGAGCUAUCGAAAAGAAGAUUGUUGAUGUUAUAGGAAAUUGUAGAAACCCAUGUACCAGAAGUGGAAGCUAAAGAAUUAGAACCAGUAUAUUUUUGUAAAUUUUUAUGGAAUUUUCUCUUCUCAACUAAUAUACAUAUUCUGCGAUAAUUACAGUGUAACACAACUUCAGACUGUAUUCUAUAUCGGAUAACAUUGAACAGGUUGUACGAUAAAAUAGUCGAGUAGGUUCUCACUCCUUUCGUCGCUCGUGUCAAGUGAAGUCAACGAAGGAUAAUCAUUCCUCUUUUCUAUUGUUUGUCAACUCGAUAUUCCAAUCUUUUCAACAAUUAGGUAGUAUAAAUUUUUUGAAUUUGAAUAUUUUAUCAAGCUAUCUAUCUUAUCGAAACGAUUUUCCUGACUACUGAUUAAUCGAUUGAAGCAAUUGAAAAUUCGAAUGUUCGAGUUAGCGUGUGUUACAUUUCUUUAGUCGGGUGACGACGAUGGAACGUUGAAUGAUUCCCUGCGGGG